rnacentral:tRNA from 1 species
UGUCCAAUGGUGUAACGGUAGCACUGCAGAUUUUGGUUCUGCCUGUUCAGGUUCGAAUCCUGGUUGGACAA